GAACGCUAGCGGCAGGCUUAACACAUGCAAGUCGAGGGGCAUCGGGGAGUAGCAAUACUCUGCCGGCGACCGGCGGAAGGGUGCGUAACGCGUGAGCAACAUGCCCGUCACAGGGGGGAUAAUCCAUGGAAACGUGGUCUAACACCGCAUAGAUUAUAUGAAGGACAUCCUUUAUAUAAGAAAUUCGCAAGAAGGUGACGGAUUGGCUCGCGUAACAUUAGCCAGUUGGUAGGGUAACGGCCUACCAAAGCGACGAUGUUUAGGGGUCCUGAGAGGGAGGUCCCCCACACUGGAACUGAGACACGGUCCAGACUCCUACGGGAGGCAGCAGUGAGGAAUAUUGGACAAUGGAUGGAAAUCUGAUCCAGCCAUGCCGCGUGCGGGAUGACGGCCCUACGGGUUGUAAACCGCUUUUGCAGGGGAGCAAUAAGGUGUACGCGUACACUGAUGAGAGUACCUUGCGAAUAAGCAUCGGCUAACUCCGUGCC
rnacentral:rRNA from 1 species